rnacentral:rRNA from 1 species
AGUAACACGUGGAUAACCUACCUAUAAGACUGGGAUAACUUCGGUAAACCGGAGCUAAUACCGGAUAAUAUUUUGAACCGCAUGGUUCAAAAGUGAAAGACGGUCUUGCUGUCACUUAUAGAUGGAUCCGCGCUGCAUUAGCUAGUUGGUAAGGUAACGGCUUACCAAGGCAACGAUGCAUAGCCGGCCUGAGAGGGUGAUCGGCCACACUGGAACUGAGACACGGUCCAG